rnacentral:rRNA from 1 species
GGGACCUAAGGCGAGGCAGAAAUGCGUAGCCGAUGGACAGCAGGUGGAGAUUCCUGCACUGCCAUAUAUCAGAAAUGUGGGGACGCAUCAGGAAAGUGUGGGCCGGGAAAGGAAAGACCGGUGCAAGCGGAGGAGGGGACACGCAGGCAAAUCCGCAUGUCAACCCAAGGGCGUUAUGCGGAGCGAAGAAUAGUAGCGAAGCACACGGACAGGGUGCCGAGAAAAGCCGCUAUCGUGUAUAUGGUACCCGUACCGUAAACCGACACAGGUGGAUGAGGAGAGAAUCCUAAGGCCGGCGGGAGAAGCAUUGUUAAGGAACUCGGCAAAAUGGCCCCGUAACUUAGGGAUAAGGGGUGCCACAGUGAUGUGGCCGCAGAGAAUAGGCUCAAGCAACUGUUUAGCAAAACACAGGUCUAUGCGAAACCGAGAGGUGAGGUAUAUGGGCUGACGCCUGCCCGGUGCUGGAAGGUUUAGAGGAGAGGUCAGGAAACGAAGCCUUGAAUUGAAGCCCCAGUAAACGGCGGCCAUAACAAUAACGGUCCUAAGGUAGCGAAAUUCCUUGUCGGGUAAGUUCCGACCCGCACGAAAGGCGUAAUGAUUUGAGCGCUGUCUCGACAAUGCACCCGGUGAAAUUGAAGUACCAGUGAAGAUGCUGGUUACCCGCGCCAGGACGGAAAGACCCCAUGGAGCUUUACUCCAGCUUGAUACUGGGAUCCGGUGUCCAAUGUACAGGAUAGGUGGGAGGCUGAGAGCCAUGAACGCAAGUUUAUGGGGAGCCGCUGUUGGGAUACCACCCUUUGGGUACUGGAUUUCUAACCUGCGCCCGUGACCCGGGCGGGGGACAAUGUCUGGCGGGGAGUUUGACUGGGGCGGUCGCCUCCGAAAGGGUAUCGGAGGCGCUCAAAGGUUCACUCAGAAUGGUCGGAAACCAUUCGGAGAGCGCAAAGGCAGAAGUGAGCCUGACUGUGACACCGACGGGCGGAACAGGUACGAAAGUAGGACUUAGUGAUCCGGUGGUAUAAAGUGGGAUUGCCAUCGCUCAACGGAUAAAAGCUACCCUGGGAUAACAGGCUGAUCACUCCCAAGAGUUCACAUCGACGGAGUGGUUUGGCACCUCGAUGUCGGCUCAUCGCAUCCUGGGGCUGUAGCAGGUCCCAAGGGUUGGGCUGUUCGCCCAUUAAAGCGGUACGCGAGCUGGGUUCAGAACGUCGUGAGACAGUUCGGUCCCUAUCCGGCGCGGGCGGAGGAUAUCAGAGAGGAGCUGUCCUUAGUACGAGAGGACCGGGAUGGACGGACCGCUGGUGCAUCUGUUGGAUACCAGAUCCAUGGCAGAGUAGCCAAGUCCGGCAGGGAUAAACGCUGAAGGCAUCUAAGCGUGAAGCCCCCCUCAGGAUGAGAUAUCCCAUUCUUAGAGAAUGUAAGACCCCUUAGAGACUAUGAGGUAGAUAGGGCAUGGGUGUAAGUGCAGAGAUGCACUGAGCUGAAUGUCACUAAUAGGCCGAGGGCUUAUC